GUCUUCGUAGCUUAACUAAAGCAUGACACUGAAGAUGUCAAGAUGGCUGAUACAUUCACCCGAGGACA
rnacentral:tRNA from 1 species